GAUUACCAUGGUCAUUUGUCCUGCCUUCCAAGCCCCAGCCACCCUUCAGGAACCUCCUCCCACCCCAACCUUUGGUGAAGACCCCAGGUGUAGGGCUAUGUGAGGAAGGGGUCCCUGGUGGACUUGCUGCAGCAGCACCCUUCACCUUCUCUGAGACAGUGAUGAUUCCCCCACUUUUCUGAUAGAUAAGAGUAGUGGCUUUUACUUACCUGUAGUUUGGGGACAAGAAAGCUGAAUGAAAGGAAAAGGGAUGGAUAGAAAACCUGCAUGCCUGGAAAGGUGGGACUAGAGCCGAAGCAGGAAAGCUGGGGAAAUAAAGUGAUCCUAGAAUGAUGAAUGAUUCUUGGGGUCCCCCCUAGGAAAUGGCCUGGGGAUUCCGUUCCUUCUUUUCUCUCUCACACAGGACUUUGCAUCGACUCUGGAAUUUGCUUAUUAGUCAGAAAUUCAAAGGAAUUGAGUCCACCUCUGUCAGGGUCACCAACUAUCCUGCCAGCCUCCUGGACGGACCUCAGGCUCUGUCUGGAUUCCAGAUUAAGUAGGAUCUCUGAGGUCAGAAAAAGCGCCAAGAAGUGGUGGAUGGGCAGCUAAGAUCAGUGUUCCUUUCCCUACCUGGUUUCCUCUCCACUGCAGCUCCCUCAUCCCCACACACACUGACUGAGGACAUCACUGGCCUUUCUGCUGAAUCCGGAGGUGUGGGAUUUGACAGAACCGGGUCUAGGAGUCCUAUAUGUAAAAAGUAAACCUGGCAGCAUAUGGACAUCAGCACAGACAGACACACAAAUAUCCAGAUGUACCUACCCCCUUCAGCAGCCAGGAUCCAAAUCACCUCCAGCAGGAGAGUGAAGAACAACAUGGUAUCCCCGGAAGAAGCAGUCUUCACUCCACUUGCUGGCUGGUGACUUCACAAUUGCCUCCCGCUUUUAAGAGUCACCCGCCUGAGGAUGCGCCCAUUUGAGCUCCCUCUGCGCUGGUCCCUCCGCCAAGGAGCAAGAAAUAGCCAAAACAAAGGGAGCAGAAGCUAAAUAAGGGAGCAGGAGAAAAGCCAAAUGAACAGAAUAAGGCAUGCGCCUGGCUCGUCAGUGUCUGCCCAGGCAGGAGCCACCAUGCCUUCCUGGCACCCCCCACCCUCAUUGAUCUGCGACGCAAAACUAUUCGGCAGAUAUAGUUUCCUUCGUUUUCUCAUCAUCACCCUCAGAAUUAUUUUUCCCUUCCAAGGUGCAGUUUAUAUUUUGAGGUUCCCCCAAAGCCCCACCCCUCUCGUCUAAGAAGAGUACAAGGCAUAAAGUGUAAACUAGGCAUCUUGGGAAUCAGGAUAGUUAAUAGAGAGAAAUACAGAAACAGAAAAGAAGAAAAGUGGAGACAUUUAUUGCCUGGGGGUAAAGAGUCGGCCUGGACAGAAUGACCUCCGCCAGGUCAGAGUUCCCUUCCCGAAGCUGGAAUUCUAAUUCAGCUUCCCCUAGGCCUCUAGGCGCCACCUCCUGGUUGUCUCAGGAAUUUUUUAAAGACCAAGAAUUAGGGGCACCUGGGUGGCUCAGUGUGUUAAAGCCUCU